GUAGCAGCGCAUUAGCCCCAGAAUCAAGACACGCGGAGGAAGGAGCUCUCGUUGCACAGGUAUGGCGUUCGAGUUCCCAACAGAAGAGGAGAAGGCGCUUGUGCGACAGCAGCUGGGGACGAGCGAGGAAGAUAUCCGGCAGGCACUCGCCAACAUUCGCAACUGGCUGCAAGUACAGCCACACUUGCCCGAUGUCAUAGAUGACGAGCGGCUGGAACGCCUAUACAUCAGCUGUAAAUGCAGGACUGAGUGAGUGAAGCAGAUACUGGAUGCCACCUACACGCUGAAGAACAAGUUCCCCGAACUCAUGCUGAACAGAGACCCGCUAGGGGAAGACAUUAUCACAGCUUU